UACGGAGGGUGCAAGCGUUGUCCGGAUUUAUUGGGUUUAAAGGGUGCGUAGGCGGCCCUGUAAGUCAGUGGUGAAACCCUUGGGCUUAACCCAAGGAGUGCCAUUGAUACUGCAGGGCUUGGGUCAUCUUUGGGCGGGCGGAAUGGAUGGUGUAGCGGUGGAAUGCGUAGAGAUCCGGAAGAACACCGGUGGCGAAGGCGGCCUGCUGGGCAGUAGCUGACGCUGAGGCGCGACAGCGUGGGGAGCAAACAGG
rnacentral:rRNA from 1 species